UUGAGGGAUCGAUAAUUAAAUAUCCAUAAAAAAUAUAAAAAUUUAAUUCUUGAUCUUUCUUUUGACACCAAUCUAAUAAAAAAUUCAUGUUGACGAAAACUCAAACUUUCGAUCUCUCCUUUUAGACCUACCAUGAUAGGAUAUCCUUUUGACAUCAUUUUACUUUAAAAAAUAUCGAAUAUACUCUUUAGCCAGGUCUAAUUAUUUUCAGAGGUAGAGGGAAAGGGAGGUAAAGACGGAGGGGAAUGAGAUGUUGGAGAUCGUAUCAGUAGAGCACUUUUCGAUAGAGACAUCGCCGAAGGCCAUGAAUGACGAUGGUGGGUCAUCGAGGUUAGUGAUGGAGGACAGGGAGCACACGAUCAUGGUGGCAGUGGCGAUGGCCGCAACGGGAGGUACCGGAUUUAGAGUCUAAGAGAGGGUGGUGGGAGGAGUAGAGGGAUUUGUUAAGGGAGUAGUGCUUGUUAAGGAGCUGGCAGCCAAGGGAGAGGUAGGGGAUGGAAUCGUCAUAGAGAGCAGUGGUGCAGCAUCAAAAGAUGGUGGAGGGAGGUGACAACAAAGAAGCGGGGGAGAGGGAGAGG
rnacentral:lncRNA from 1 species